GAUGAACGCUAGCGGCAGGCUUAACACAUGCAAGUCGAACGGCAGCACAGGUAGCAAUACUGGGUGGCGAGUGGCGCACGGGUGCGUAACGCGUAUGCAACUUACCCAUAACUGGGGAAUAGCCUUCCGAAAGGAAGAAUAAUACCCCAUAACAUUUCGAUGUGGCAUCACAUUGUUCUUAAAGCUUCGGCGGUUAUGGAUGGGCAUGCGUUCUAUUAGUUUGUUGGUGAGGUAACGGCUCACCAAGACUACGAUAGAUAGGGGGCCUGAGAGGGUUAUCCCCCACACUGGUACUGAGACACGGGCCCGACUCCUACGGGAGGCAGCAGUAAGGAAUAUUGGUCAAUGGACGAAAGUCUGAACCAGCCAUGCCGCGUGAAGGAUUAAGGCCCUCUGGGUUGUAAACUUCUUUUAUCUGGGACGAAAAAGGGUAUUACUUACUCACUUGACGGUACCAGAGGAAUAAGCACCGGCUAACUCCGUGCCAGCAGCCGCGGUAAAGUCU
rnacentral:rRNA from 1 species